rnacentral:rRNA from 1 species
UUGAGUUGUAAUUUGGAGACGGGAUACUAGAGAGAGGGAGGGCGACUAAGUGCCUUGGAACAGGCUGCCGUAGAGGGUGAGAGCCCCGUGAGUCGCGUGAACUCGAUCAAUUAGUGCCCGCCGAAGAGUCGAGUUGUUUGGGAAUGCAGCUCUAAGUGGGUGGUAUAUUCCAUCUAAGGCUAAAUAUUAGCGAGAGACCGAUAGCAAACAAGUACAGUGAUGGAAAGAUGAAAAGAACUUUGGAAAGAGAGUGAAAUAGUACGUGAAAUUGUUGAAAGGGAAGGGUAUUUGAUCCGACAUGGUGUUUAGCAGCGGCCCGUUCCUCGUGGAUGGGUGCACCUGGUUUACACUGGGCCAGCAUCGGUUCUGGGAGCCAUAUACGGGGCAGGCGAAUGUGGCCCUUCGAUUCUGUCGGAGGGUGUUAUAGCGCCAGCCAGACGUGGCUAUCCGGGACCGGGGACUGCGGCGAUUCUAUCGCCA